AUUUAUCGAAAAUAUUGUACAAGUUUAUUGUGCUCUGUUAAUACAUGUAACAAUUUCAAUAAGAGUAUUCCAGAUCAAUUCAAAGUAUCAGAAUAAAACACAGCAGCCGUAGUAUCACAAAAUAGUAGAGGUCUGUAUAGUCAGCAGUACUUAUAUAAUACAAGACAAUUAAGCGCAGACACUCGAAGGAGUCGAAAGGUAACUCGGCACUCCCCUCAGUUACUGUAUUUUAAAUAAUUUUU